rnacentral:rRNA from 1 species
AUUGAACGCUGGCGGCAGGCUUAACACAUGCACGUCGAGCGAGCGGCGGACGGGUGAGUAAUGUCUGGGAAACUGCCUGCUGUAGGGGGAUAACUACUGGAAACGGUAGCUAAUCCCGAAUACUAUCAGAUGUGCCAAGAUGGGGUUGCCUAGGAGGUGGGGUAAUGGCUCACCUAGGAGACGAUCCCUAGCUGGUCUGCGAUGAUGACCAGCCACACUGGAACUGUGGCAAGGUCCAGACUCCGACGGGGGGAAGCAGUGGGGAAUGUGGCACAAUGGGCGCAAGCCUGAUGUAGCCGUGCCGCUUGUGUGGAGAAGGACUUCGGGUUGUAAAGCACUUACAGCGAUUAGGCGUUAGUCGGAGAAGAAGCACCGGCUAACUACGUGCCAGCAGCCGCGGUAAUAC